rnacentral:rRNA from 1 species
AUUGAACGCUGGCGGCAGGCUUAACACAUGCAAGUCGAGCGGAGUGAUGGUGCUUGCACUAUCACUUAGCGGCGGACGGGUGAGUAAUGCUUAGGAAUCUGCCUAUUAGUGGGGGACAACAUCUCGAAAGGGAUGCUAAUACCGCAUACGUCCUACGGGAGAAAGCAGGGGAUCACUUGUGACCUUGCGCUAAUAGAUGAGCCUAAGUCGGAUUAGCUAGUUGGUGGGGUAAAGGCCUACCAAGGCGACGAUCAGUAGCGGGUCUGAGAGGAUGAUCCGACACACUGGGACUGAGACACGGCCCAGACUCCUGCGGGAGGCAGCAGUGGGGAAUAUUGGACAAUGGGGGGAACCCUGAUCCAGCCAUGCCGCGUGUGUGAAGAAGGCCUUAUGGUUGUAAAGCACUUUAAGCGAGGAGGAGGCUCUUUUGGUUAAUACCCAAGGUGAGUGGACGUUACUCGCAGAAUAAGCACCGGCUAACUCUGUGCCAGCAGCCGCAGUAA